GACGAACGCUGGCGGCGUGCUUAACACAUGCAAGUCGAACGGAAAGGCCCUGCUUUUGUGGGGUGCUCGAGUGGCGAACGGGUGAGUAACACGUGAGUAACCUGCCCUGGACUUUGGGAUAACUUCAGGAAACUGGGGCUAAUACCGGAUAGGAGCUCCUGCUGCAUGGUGGGGGUUGGAAAGUUUCGGCGGUUGGGGAUGGACUCGCGGCUUAUCAGCUUGUUGGUGGGGUAGUGGCUUACCAAGGCUUUGACGGGUAGCCGGCCUGAGAGGGUGACCGGCCAAAUUGGGAAUUAGAUACGGCCCAGACUCCUACGGGAGGCAGCAGUGGGGAAUAUUGCACAAUGGGCGGAAGCCUGAUGCAGCAACGCCGCGUGCGGGAUGACGGCCUUCGGGUUGUAAACCGCUUUCGCCUGUGACGAAGCGUGAGUGACGGUAAUGGGUAAAGAAGCACCGGCUAACUACGUG
rnacentral:rRNA from 1 species